AGCAUGGCCCCUGCGCAAGGAUGACACGCAACAUCGUGAAGCGUUCCUUAUUUUU
rnacentral:snRNA from 1 species